GUCCCCGUAGCUCAGAUGGAUAGAGCGUUGGUUUCCUAAACCGAAGGCCGGCAGUUCGACUCUGCCCGGGGACACCA
rnacentral:tRNA from 1 species